AACGCUGGCGGCAUGCCUAACACAUGCAAGUCGAACGAGAUCUUCGGAUCUAGUGGCGCACGGGUGCGUAACGCGUGGGAAUCUGCCCUUGGGUUCGGAAUAACAGUUAGAAAUGACUGCUAAUACCGGAUGAUGUCGUAAGACCAAAGAUUUAUCGCCCAAGGAUGAGCCCGCGUAGGAUUAGCUAGUUGGUGGGGUAAAGGCCUACCAAGGCGACGAUCCUUAGCUGGUCUGAGAGGAUGAUCAGCCACACUGGGACUGAGACACGGCCCAGACUCCUACGGGAGGCAGCAGUGGGGAAUAUUGGACAAUGGGCGAAAGCCUGAUCCAGCAAUGCCGCGUGAGUGAUGAAGGCCCUAGGGUUGUAAAGCUCUUUUACCCGGGAUGAUAAUGACAGUACCGGGAGAAUAAGCCCCGGCUAACUCCG
rnacentral:rRNA from 1 species